rnacentral:rRNA from 1 species
GUGGGGAAUAUUGGACAAUGGGGGCAACCCUGAUCCAGCCAUGCCGCGUGAGUGAAGAAGGCCCUAGGGUUGUAAAACUCUUUCAGCGGGGACGAUGAUGACGGUACCCUACAAGAAAGCACCGGCUAACUCCGUGCCAGCAGCCGCGGUAAUACGGAGGGUGCAAGCGUUGUUCGGAAUUACUGGGCGUAAAGCGCGUGCAGGCGGCCGAUUAAGUCCGGUGUGAAAGCCCGGGGCUCACCCCCGGAAGUGCGCUGGAUACUGGUCGGCUAGAGUACGGGAGAGGGAAGCGGAAUUCCUGGUGUAGCGGUGAAAUGCGUAGAUAUCAGGAGGAACACCGGCGGCGAAGGCGGCUUCCUGGCCCUGUUCUGACGCUCAGGGGCGAAAGCGUGGGGAGCGAACCGGAUUAGAAACCCUAGUAGUCC